AAUCAUUAUUUCCUCCCCUCUCCUUCCUUUCCUCUAUCACCGCUAGGUUUCUUCCAUCUCCUUUCCUUUCCUCUAUCACCGCUAGGUUUCCUCUCUCCCACCCCUUCUUUCCUUUCGUAUUUGCAGCGCACCAGGUUCUUCCCUCUUCGCAGUAAGCAAGGAGUUCAAAGGUAACCCUAUAUCUUAUUUCUUCCCUCUCCGCAGCACCGUGCGUAACCUUGCCAGGUGAUGAGAGGAUGCUUUAGGUGCGGCCACACUCAAGGGGGUCGCAGCCUCUCCAGACCACUAGUUUACUAGCGGUCGAUUUGCGAAUGGCUGCACGCGAGGGGGUCGAUGCCUCACGAGGCAGCCCAUUCACAAAUGGUUGCACAUGAGGGGGUCUAAGAAGUGGCCUGUAGCGAGGCAACGCCAUCGUUAUAUGCUUCUGAAACUCUCGUGUUUUUCCAUCUCCAUAUACUGGUAAGCUUUUCAAGAAGAUGGAAUUGCACAAGCUAGCAGAUAUGCUACUGAGGAUUCAAUUAAGUCAUGGCUUAAUGAAUUACUUUGCUUGGAUGUUGCAAGUUACAUUCCAAAUAUCACUAUGUUAGUAUUCUUGAUGAAAAGUAAAUAAUUGUUUUUCAGGUCAUUCUCUAAAUGAUCUUUUAUUUGUCUAGACUUCCACAUCCAAGUGAAUGUGCCCUUUACUAUGUCAACUGAGAUAUACUUUUCUAAUAUCACAAGGAGAGUGAGAUAUGUUUAUAGGUACUUUUAUUUGGUUAAAUUUGUGCUAUUUUUUCAUUUAUAUUACAGGGCAUGAUUUCCCUUUAUGCUGCUUCUCACUACAAAAAGUCACCUAAUGACUUACAAGUUACAAUUGAUGGUUUGUCUCUCCAUUGUGGAAUUCAAUGAUAUUUUUUCUCCUCAUAGAGAGAAGACUACACUUGAGCAUGAGCCUAGCUUGUAAGGACAUGUACAAGUUAUAGGAAUUGCUAUAUAGGCUUCAAAUUGACUCCUUUUUUUCUUGAAGUUUGUACUAUUCCCAUUCAUUCUUUUCUUUCAUUUCAUUUGUUUUCCUCUGUAUUGUUGAAGGAUAGUUCUUGAUAGAUAUGAUUAUUCUCUUGAGGAAAUUUGUUUUUUUACUUCAUAAGUCUAAAACAUGUUAUUAUUAGCUUUAUGUACCAUGUCAUGCUUAUUUACUACAUGCAAAUCGAAGUUUGAGAACUCAUGUUGCACAAAAGCUUCAAUUUAAAUAAACUUUGGAAAUUUCUGUUGGUAGUCAUCCAUAAAAUGUUUACAUGGUUUGAUAUGAUUUUUAGGUGUAACAACUCUACCAGCUUCAAAAAUCAUGCCAUAUUCCUUUUUAAUUUCUUUUGAGAAAGAAAAGAAUUAUUUGGAAAAAAGGUCUUGUUAUUUGAUGUUUUUCGUUUGUGUUUGCAAGCUUUAUUGGUUCUUUGCCUUGAAGGUUAAAGAUUGUAAGAUACUUUUUUUGGAAAGACUGGCAAACUGCUGAAGGAGGCAGAUAAAGAAAUUGGUCAUCAGAAAACGAUUACCUCCCUAUCAAAAUCUGCAGAUGACUCUCAUUUUCUAACAGGUUCAUGAGAUAAGUUUGCCAAGGUGACAACCACUUUUAUCUAGAGUUUUUUUAUCUCACACUUCAAUUUUUUGUUUACUUCAUAAAUUUCAUUUAUCUCACACUGUUACAUCUAUGCUGAAUUUAGAAGAAUUAGUGUUGUUUGUACGUUUCGACUCCACUUUUUCUUUGUCCAUUCUAUCGCAAUCAAUAAAAUCUUAGAAAUAUGAAAGGAGUUUUAUGUGCUGGUGUAUGCAUAAGGUUUACUUUACUUAUCCAUUACCAUUUUGAGCAAUUCUGGUUCUUUUCUUCUCAUACUCGCCCAUCAGAGUAGUCUGAGGAUAGAAUUUUGUUACUUAAUGAGGGCAUUUCUAGGAUGUAGUUCUGCUACAGAUAAAUAUCUGGAAUUUCUUAAGAUGACCUGGGGACAAGUUCUUGUUCUUUGUUUGGUGAAUUAGUGUAUUUUUCUUUGAUCAUAUUUUAAGUGUUGCAAAUUUGUUGUUUCAGAAGUUCUAGGUGCUGAAGUUUUGGUAUCUGUUUAUAUUUUGGGUUAAGUUUCUAAUAUGUAUAUAUGUAUUUUGCCAAAAAAAAAAAAUCUAAAAGACAUCUAAAGAUUCUUGUCAAAAGUUUAGUUUUUUUCUGUAGUUGUUAAUUCCUGUCAAAGUUUUGACCAUUGAACUGUGGUAGAGGAUUGAUACUUAUCAGCAUAUAAAUAAUAUGUAAUGCAUUAAUUGUAUGUCAAAUUUGUAGUAUUCACUCUUUUCUUUUGCUAGAUGUCGGGAAAAGCAAAGGAAGGAAUCCUUUUGGCUCCUAACAGUUAAUCGCAAGCUUAGUGCCAUGAAUAAACUAUUAAUGGAAGAAAAUGAUCGGCUGUAAAAGCAGGUGUCUGAACUUGUUUAUCAAAAUGGCCAUAUGCGCCAGCAAGUGCAAAAUGCAUCUGUGACAACAAGAAACACCAAUUGUGAGUCUGUGAUUACAAGCGGUCAGUUUCACCAUCAACAAAACUUAACGGCUCAGCCUCCUCAAAGAGAUGCUAAUAACCCAACCAGGUAACAAGUGUGGUAAAAGAUUCUACUUGGGUGAGGAAUGAUUUACAAAGAAUCUCCAAUCAGUUGUCAACCUCAGGACAUCAAACAAGCAGAGGUGCACAUCCAGUAAUAGAUAAAGAGAAUUGUCUAUUAACAAAUAAAACUACUGGGGAAGAUUUAGUUAAAUCUCUGCACAGAGCAAGAAGGAUAACGUUGGCACCAGUAAGAAGAAUAUUUGUGUAAUAUCUA